GUCUCUUUGUGUUUUAUAAAUAAAGAGUUGGGCCUGCUCGGUGAAUAAGUUUUUAACAGCUGCGGUAUUUUAACUGUACUAAGGUAGCAUAAUAAUUUGCCUUAUAAUUUGAGGCUAGAAUGAAUGGUUUGACGAAGGUUAAUCUGUCUCCACUUUAUUUUUUAGAAUUUAAUUUUUAAAGUGAAAAAGCUUAAAUUUUUUAAAGGGACGAGAAGACCCUAAUGAGCUUUUAAUUUUAUUAUUGUUGUUUAAUAUAUUUAGAUAAUGGUGUAUAAAUUUUAAUUGGGGUGAUUAAGGAAUAAAUUUAUGUAAUAACUUCCUUAAAUUAAAUGUGUGUAUAUAAAGUAACCAAUAAAUUAUUGCUUAUAAUAUAGUUACCAUAGGGAUAACAGCGUAAUUUGUUUAGAGAGUUCUUAUUGAAAAACGAGAUUGCGACCUCGAUGUUGGAUUAAAGUAACCCUAAGGUGCAGAAGCUUUAGAAGGUAAAUCUGUUCGAUUUUUAAUACUUU
rnacentral:rRNA from 1 species